rnacentral:rRNA from 1 species
UACAGAGGGUGCAAGCGUUGUUCGGAAUUAUUGGGCGUAAAGCACGUGUAGGCGGCUUGUUAAGUCGGGUGUGAAAGCCCUCAGCUCAACUGAGGAAGUGCGCCCGAAACUGGCGAGCUUGAGUGUCGGAGAGGAUGGCGGAAUACCCCAAGUAGAGGUGAAAUUCGUAGAUAUGGGGUGGAACACCGGUGGUGAAGGCGGCCAUCUGGACGACAACUGACGCUGAGACGCGAAAGCGUGGGGAGCAAACAGG